CCGUGCACGUAAAACUGCGGGACAAGAUAUCUUUGACUCAUUAAAACUGUCUUUUGUUACAACUGAAAUCCACUCUGUCCAGCGUCCGUGAUUUGGUCUCAACUCUCCAAUAUUUAAACACUAACAAUGUCGGCAUUUAUACAAUUUUUACCGGCAUUUCAUGUUUCCAUAAACCGAGUCGUCACUUUUUGUUCAUGCGCCAUGUAAUUCAUCUUCAUGAAAUUGUCUGAUGGAAACGUGGUUAGUGACCUCCGAACAAACAAAUAUUUUCGUGGGCGGAGAAAAACCUCUCGCUUCGCCUCUUUCGUCUCUGACUACACUCAGUAGAACGUUUGGUAGCGUUGUGACAGACGCUGUGUUCAGUCUAAAGACAUGCAAGUACUGACAAGGUUUCUUGCCAAUUUUACGUUUUAAAAGUAUGCCAACAGCAAUCGCAACCUCCAAGUCGUUUAAAUACUUUACCAUAAGAACUUCAGAGUAAAGACGGCAAUGGAAAGGUGGAAUAGUCACGUGCGCGCUGGACUGUUCCAGAGAGAUUGUACACAAAAUGACCCAUUCACUGGUGUCUUCAACACCUGUAAAUUGUCAGUUAUCUGUGGAUUUAUUACAUUUGAAUAAUGAGUUAUUUGUGAAUAUAAUUUGCCAACAUGUUGUGAUUGUCUCUUUUCAGUGUCCAAAUUAGCAGAGCGGCUUGAUUUAAGGGAGACAUUUUGGGAUGAGUUACAGAGACCCAGUUCUGAAGGAUAUGGUGGAAUGACAGCUGACCACAGAGAAUUACACCUCAUCCUCAGAGAGAGGAUACAUAUAACAGAAAAGCUCUCUCGGACAGUUUCUGACCUGACCACCCUCAUGUACCUGAAAGAAGCAGAGCUUCAAUACUGCCACUCACAAGUCUCCCGCUAUCAGAAGGAAGCUGUCACUCAAGCUAGGGGGGCCAACAUUCUGCAGGCCAGCCUAUCAGAGCGUUAGUUUGAAUUGGAGACCCAAUCAAAGGAGUUGGCAGUCCUGCGGUUGGAGCAGCGGGAGUUGAGGGGCUUGCAGCGGCCUGGAGAGAGAAAGAGGGGCUUCUGGAGAGAUGGAUGGAUGAGAAGGAGGCGGCGGCAGAGAGGGUGUACAGGCACAAUGAGGGACAGGAAAGAUGGUGUCGUUUCACCCAUCGGCUCAACAAGCACCUCCGUAGAACGAUGCUGCGACCAGGUGAGCAGACCAACUCCUGGAUGACUGGUAGGCCUUCAAAGAACCAGUAACUGCCAUACAGAGAGACACACAAACAGACACAGAACACACAGCAGUGUCAGGCACUUGCUUGCGUCCCAACUAAUAUCAAGGUCUGCUUUGCCCAGAGGAGGAUGGUGCACACUGCCCAGGGUGGACCUUGACACAUUUUCCCAAAACUUCCUGUACUAAAACAGACCUUGAAUGUGGCUCAAAUGUUGUUUUUUUUAACAUGUUUAUCUAUUGAAAGAUAUUGAUUUGAAUCAAUGUAUCUAUAGGUAAAGCUAAUUAUAAACCAAACUGUAAUACAGUUGUGAAUUUCAGAUACUGUAUGUACAGGCUUAUUUAAGUGAGUACCUAAGACCUAACUCAAUGUUUUAUCAUUAACCGUUUUAAAAUACUAUGAGCAAUAAAGUAAACCUUCUGUCAUGUUUUUCACUUCACUUAGACACCACUCUGUCCUGUGACUGCUUCCUGUUUUUAUGUGCG